GACAAAUUAAAAAUGUACUAAAAUAACUUUAAAUUCUGAUUAAACAAUGAAGACAAGAGAGUGAUAUUAUUAAAAAGAGAUUUUUCUCUUUGCUGUUAAAAUUAAAAUGUCGUUUUUUAUCAAACUUUAAUGCUGCAAGUGUGAUGUUCUAAUAAAUAAAUACUGGAAUGUUAAUGCUGUAUAUCACUUAAAACUAGAAAACAAUAAAGCUUAGUGUCCAU